rnacentral:rRNA from 1 species
GACGAACGCUGGCGGCGUGCCUAAUACAUGCAAGUCGAACGCAGUGGGGACGGGUGAGUAACACGUGGGUAACCUCCCAUCAGAGGGGAUAACACUUGGAAACAGGUGCUAAACCGAUACUGAUGGAUGGACCCGCGGUGCAUUAGCUAGUUGGUGAGGUAACGGCUCACCCAGGCCACGAUGCAUAGCCGACCUGAGAGGGUGAUCGGGCAAACUGGGACUGAGACACGGCCCAGACUACUACGGGAGGCAGCAGUAGGGAAGCUUCGGCAAUGGAGGAAAGUCUGACCGAGCAACGCCGAGUGAGUGAAGAAGGUGUUCGGAUCGUAAAACUCUGUUGUUAGAGAAGCGGUAUCUAACCAGAAAGCCACGGCUAACGACGGGCCAGCAGCCGCGGUAAUUC